rfam:Brassica oleracea var. oleracea cultivar TO1000 chromosome C8, whole genome shotgun sequence
GGAAUAUAAGAAUCUCGUCUCUUAACUUUUAAUUAAAAAACUAAAAACUAACUCUUAAAUAAGAGUUUUAAAAGCUGGUUCUUAGUUUUUUUAGGUAAAAGUUAAGAGACAGGUUCUUGUAUUCC